AUUGAACGCUGGCGGCAGGCCUAACACAUGCAAGUCGAACGAGUGGCGGACGGGUGAGUAAUUUCUUGGAAACUGCCUGAUCGACUGGGAUAACUACUGUAAACGGUAGCUAAUACCGCAUACCAUCAGAUUUGCCCAGAUUGGAUUAGCUAGUAGGUGGGGUAAAGGCUCACCUAGGCGACGCUCCCUAGCUGGUCUGAGAGGAUGACCAGCCACACUGGAACUGAGACACGGUCCAGACUCCUACGGGAGGCAGCAGUGGGGAAUAUUGGACAAUGGGCGCAAGUCUGAUGCAGCCAUGCCGCGUGUGUGAAGAAGGCUUUCGGUUUGUAAAGCACUGUCAGUGGGGAGGCGGUACCUGCAGAAGAAGCAACGGCUAACUACGUGCCAGCAGCCGCGGUAAUAC
rnacentral:rRNA from 1 species